rnacentral:rRNA from 1 species
AGCUCCAAUAGCGUAUAUUAAAGUUGCUGCAGUUAAAAAGCUCGUAGUUGCAUUUCCGAGGCAAGGGAUUAGUCCGACCUUUGGUGGGUAUUUAAUCCUCUUGCCUCGUCCUUGAGUGGUGCUUCUUGGUAUUAAGUUAUCGAGGAGAUAGCCGCUCAUCGUUUACUGUGAGAAAAUUAGAGUGUUCAAAGCAGGCUUAUGCCGUUGAAUAUAUUAGCAUGGAAUAAUAAGAUAGGACCUCGGUACUAUUUUGUGGGUUUGAGAACCAAGGUAAUGAUGAAUAGGGACAGUUGGGGGUAUUCGUAUUCAGGUGUCAGAGGUGAAAUUCUUAGAUUUACGGAAGACGAACUACUGCGAAAGCAUUUACCAAGGAUGUUUUCA